rnacentral:rRNA from 1 species
GUAUAUUGGACAAUGGGCGAAAGCCUGAUCCAGCCAUGCUGCGUGUGUGAAGAAGGUCUUCGGAUAGUAGAGCACUUCAAGUAGGGAGGAAGGGCAGUACGCGAAUACAUCGCUGUAUUAACGUUACGGACUGAAUACGCACAUGCGAACUCUGUGCCAGCGGCCGCGGUAAUACAGAGGGUGCAAGCGUUAAGCGGAAUUACUGGGCGUAAAGCGCGCGUAGGUGGUUCGUUAAGUUGGAUGUGAAAUCCCCGGGCUCAACCUGGGAACUGCAUCCAAAACUGUCGAGCUAGAGUAGGGCAGAGGGUGGUGUAAUUUCCUGUGUAGCGGUGAAAUGCGUAGAUAUAGGAAGAAACACCAGUGGCGAAAGCGACCACCUGGGCUCAUACUGACACUGAGGUGCGAAAGCGUGGGGAGCAAACAGG